GAUGAACGCUGGCGGCGUGCCUAACACAUGCAAGUCGAGCGAGGGUUUGCUCAGUAUUGAGUAUUCUAAAACUAGAAUGUUCAAUUCUGAGCAAAACCAAGCGGCGGACGGGUGAGUAACGCGUGGGUAACCUGCCCUAUACACAUGGAUAACAUACUGAAAAGUUUACUAAUACAUGAUAAUAUAUAUUUGUGGCAUCGCAGAUAUAUCAAAGUGUUAGCGGUAUAGGAUGGACCCGCGUCUGAUUAGCUAGUUGGUGAGAUAACUGCCCACCAAGGCGACGAUCAGUAGCCGACCUGAGAGGGUGAUCGGCCACAUUGGAACUGAGACACGGUCCAAACUCCUACGGGAGGCAGCAGUGGGGAAUAUUGCACAAUGGGCGAAAGCCUGAUGCAGCAACGCCGCGUGAACGAUGAAGGUCUUCGGAUCGUAAAGUUCUGUUGCAGGGGAAGAUAAUGACGGUACCCUGGGGAGC
rnacentral:rRNA from 1 species